AUUCUUCUGUUGCUGGGGCCUCUGCAGCCCAGGCCCAAGUGGCCCUGUCCCACCUGGAGUUGUUGCAUACCUGGUUCCCUGGGGUUGCCUCCUGCCUCCCUCUCUAGUUUCAGGUUUGCUACAGCUGGGCAGGGGUAGACCCCACAGGUGGAAGAAGGGAAUGAACCUGUGGGACCAAAGGCCAGGAGACCACUGGAAAUUUCCAGGAGACUAGAGAAGGGCUGCAGCAGUGGCCAGGAAGAAAACCGCCCCCUCUGAAAGUUGUUUUUGUGACUGUUCUUUGGAGCAUUGUUCUAAAAAUGGGAAAUUGCAUGUUGCCGUGCCAAAGGAAACAAACACCUGCAGUAAGAGGAAUACCUUCCACAAGGCGGCUUCUGGAGCCCGCACGCUCACAGCCUGGCUGUCUCUGGAUGGAGGGCUGCUGUGCAUCAUACUGCACUGAGAACAUUUCGUCCUACCCAGGGGGCAGGGGCAGGGGCAGGGGCAGGGGUGUGGGCUUGGGCAGCUACGGGGCUCAGGUUGCUUUCUCUCCUUCGCUCAAUAAACAUCUGUCAAGCAUCUCUUCUGGGUUAGUCCUGUGUGUCACUCUUUUCCUUUCCCUGGAGAGCUCUUUUUUUUUUUUAAUUAUUAUUAUUAUUUGAAAGCCAGCACUACAGAGAGGGAGAGACAGAUCUUCCAUCCUCUGCUUCACUCCCUAGAUGGCUGCAGUGGCCAGGGCUGGGCCAGGCUGAAGCCAGGGGCCAGGAGCUUCUUCUAGGUCUCCCACAUAGGUGGCACUCGCUUUACCCGGGCCAUUCACAGGGAACUGGAUUGGAAGUGGAGCAGCUGUGACGCAAGCUGAUGCCCAUGUGGGACGCCAGCGUAGCAGGCAGCAGCUUUACCCGCUGUGCUACAAUGUUCGACCCCUCCCGGGCAGAAUUGGCAACAGAUCCUGACACACGGGAACACGGGAAGCAGAGUCAAAAUAAAGUGCCAGCAUCUUGGAAGAAACACCAGCAGCAAACAAGCAAGAGUGGGGGCUGAGUUAAGCCUCUGCAUCCGAUCCAGCUCCUGGCUAAGGCGCCUGGGAAAGCAGCGGAACCACCCAAGAGGGGGUCCCAGAUGGUGUUCUAGGCUCCUGGCUUUGGCCUGGCCCAGCCCAGGCCAUCACAGCCAACUGGGAAAUGAACUAGCAGGUGGAAAAUCUGUCUCUCUCCCCCACCCCCUACCUCAUAAUCCUGCUUUUCAAAUAAAUUAGUGCAUUUAUUAUAAACCAUCUGCU